UCGAGCGAAAGGUUGUCUAGGAUCAGGAAAAGGCAUAGUAUAAGUACUGUUUUAAUAUAUGUGUUCUAUGAUAAGUAUGUCUGUGUAAUAGUAUAUUUCCAACUUUUGUAUAAGUUGCAACGAAUCCCGACUUUGGUGGUCACAAAGGGAUAUCAAAGGCUUAAGGCAGUAUGUGCUAUGCUAUGUACUAUGAAAUAGUUG
rnacentral:lncRNA from 1 species